UCUGAAACAAUAGGAGGCACCAUCUGAAACACAAGCUCUGUCAGAUGUUGAGCUAUGUGGAUAGCAGACUUUCAUAAAAGGUUGAAUGCAAACAUAGAUGGGCUAAGUGGGAUAUUGCUUGCUUUUGAAGUUAUCUGCGCAUGAACAAAGAAGUGGCUGGAGACAGAGAUGGCAGCAGAAGGGAGAGGAGAGCAAGAAAAGUCCUUGUGUGGUGUGGAGAAAAAAGAGCAGUCAGAUGCAGACAUCUUCUCCCACCGCUUUCCAACAACUGGGCAAAUUUUUGGAAACACCCUGCAUUAUAAGCACUGUGAGAACAACAGUAUAACUUCUCAGGUUUUCUAAUGGAAAGUUGGAGGAACCUGCAGAUUAAAUGGGAGAACUAAGAGCAGAAGAAUCAUACAAGCUGUAACAUCAUCUCUCUCGAUACGACAGCUGGAAAAGGAUACCUCAGUUUUAAAAAGCUCCUAUGGAUUUGUAUAGGCUAGGGUGGAAGUGCCAUUGUCUGUCAGUUCUGACGGCUGUCAACCCUUAUCUAAGAGCAACAGAUUUACAGAAAUUAUAUUUGCACCUAAAAUGAAGUAAAUGAUCUCUUUCUUAAUUUUUCAUCCAUUUCAUGCCU
rnacentral:lncRNA from 1 species